rnacentral:rRNA from 1 species
AUUGAACGCUGGCGGCAGGCUUAACACAUGCAAGUCGAGCGAGCGGCGGACGGGUGAGUAAUGUCUGGGAAACUGCCUGAUGGAGGGGGAUAACUACUGGAAACGGUAGCUAAUACCGCAUACCAUCAGAUGUGCCCAGAUGGGAUUAGCUAGUAGGUGGGGUAAUGGCUCACCUAGGCGACGAUCCCUAGCUGGUCUGAGAGGAUGACCAGCAACAGUGGAAGUGGGACACGGUCCAGACUCCUACUGAGGGCAGCAGUGGGGAAUAUUGCGCAAUGGGGGCAAACCUGAUGCAGGCAGGCCGCGUGUGUGAAGAAGGCCUUCGGGUGGUAAAGCACUUUCAGCGAGGAGGCGUUACGCGCAGAAGAAGCACCGGCUAACUCUGUGCCAGCAGCCGCGGUAAUAC